UUGACGGUACCCUACUAGAAAGGAGCCGCUAACUUCGUGCCAGAAGCGUCGGUAAUACGGGGGCUCCAAGCGUUAUCCGGUGUUAUUGGGCGUAAAGAGUCGUGUAGGUGGUUGGGUAAGUUAUCUUUCAAAUAUCUUUGCUUAACAAAGAGGAGGGGGAUAAUACUGCUCGACUAGAAUUUUCUCAAGGGAGAUCGGAACUGAGGGAGGAGUAGUGAAAUGCGUUGAUACCCUCGGGAACACCAGUGGCGUAGGCGGAUCUCUGGGAGAAGAUUGACACUGAGACACGAAAGCUAGGGGAGCGAAGCAGAUUAGAGACCUGCGUAGUCCUAGCCGUAAACGCAUGCUUGCUAGCUGCAUGAAUCUACCUUCGGGUGGUAUCGUGUGGCGAAGGUAACCCGUUAAGCAAGCCGCCUGGAAAGUACGGCCGCAAGGCUGAAAUUCAAAGGAAUUGGGCGGGGAGGCACACAACCAGUGGAACAUGUGGUUUAAUUCGAGACUAACCGAAGAACCUCACCAGGGCUUGACAUGUAGCUGCACGUCUUAAGAAAUUAAGACUCUCUUGAAGGUGCUACACAGGUGCUGCAUGGCUGUCGUCAGCUCGUUCCGUGAGGAGUGCCCUUAAGUGGGACAACGAGCGCAACCCCUAUUACAUGUUAGAAAUGUCAUGUAAGACUGCCUUGCCACUCUCGGCGGGGAGGAAGGAGGGGCAGACGUCAAGUCCGCAUGGUCCUUAUGCCCUGGGCUACACACAUGUUACAAUGAGUACGGCAAUGAGUCUGUCGCGAGCACGUAAGUGUAAGCUAAUCUCUUAAAUGUACUCUCAGUGGGGAUUGAGGUCUGCAACUCGACCUCAUGAACACGGAAUUGGUAGUCCUCGCGGGUCAGCUAUACCGCGGUGAAUACGUUCUUGCCUCUUGCACACACCGCCCGUCAAACCAGCAAAGU
rnacentral:rRNA from 1 species